rnacentral:rRNA from 1 species
AUACGGAGGAUCCGAGCGUUAUCCGGAUUUAUUGGGUUUAAAGGGUGCGCAGGCGGGAGAUUAAGUCGGCGGGGAAAUUUUGCAGCUCAACUGUAAAAGUGCCUUCGAUACUGGUUUCCUUGAGUGGGGAUGAAGGAGGCGGAAUUUGUGGGGUAGCGGUGAAAUGCUUAGAUAUCACGAGGAACUCCGAUUGCGCAGGCAGCUUACUAAACCACUACUGACGCUCAGGCACGAAGGCGUGGGGAUCAAACAGGAUUAGAUACCCUGGUAGUCCACGCAGCAAACGAUGAUUACUGGCUGUUUGCGAUACAAUGUAAGCGGCUGAGCGAAAGCGUUAAGUAAUCCACCUGGGGAGUACGUUCGCAAGAAUGAAACUCAAAUGAAUUGACGGGG